UAUCUGCAUGGAAGAGAGAAUCUAGCCUAUAUGCUUCUUUCUCAGGACCUUCUUGUGUCUCCAAAGAAAGUUACUCCAUGCUAUUACUGGUAGCUGCCUGAUCCCAGAAAUCCAGUGUGGAAGAGGAGAUAUCAAUGGAUCCCCAGGUGGCCAAUAUAUUGAGGGGCACCAUUAGUGUGUGGAUAAUGUCAUUUACAUUGUCUAUAUAUGUCGCCUUCGACAUCAGAAAUAAAUGGCAACACUUAGAGAAGAGAAGGAAAAGAAAAGAAAAAAUAAAUAAAUGGUCCUUUUACUGGCAGCUGAAUGGGAUACUGGCAGUGACUUCUUCUAUUGAUCUGGGUGCUUUUAUUUGUUACGUCUGGACAAAACAUGGUUGCCCAGGGUUUUUUUUUGUGGAUGAUUGGAUGAACUGGCUUGUUUGGACUGUUAUAACAGUCUUCACGAUGAUCUUAAUAAUAACACUUUUGAAUAUGCGUGUGGCUUUUUUUUCCUUCUUUAUGAUGCUGCAGUUUUCAGUGAAUAUCAGCAAUAUAGACAAUAUUAUCUUUUUUCUUCCGAUGCUAAGGAUGUUUUUGGCCUACUAUCAGUGGUGGUUCCUUCUCCAAUGAUUCAGGCACAUUCUGUUUUACCUGUCACCAUGGGU
rnacentral:lncRNA from 1 species